rnacentral:rRNA from 1 species
AGCAGCCGCGGUAAUUCCAGCUCCAAUAGCGUAUAUUAAAGUUGUUGCAGUUAAAAAGCUCGUAGUUGAAUUUCGGGAUCAAUACGUCGGUCGUGCCUCUGGUAUGUACUGGUGUUAUUGAUUUCUCCCUUCUGAUGAACCAUGAUGUCAUUAAUUUGGUGUUGUGUGGAGUCAGGACUGUUACUUUGAAAAAUUAGAGUGUUUAAAGCAGGCUCACGCUUGAAUACAUUAGCAUGGAAUAAUGAAAUAGGACGUUCGAUCCUAUUUUGUUGGUUUCUAGGAUCAACGUAAUGAUUAAUAGGGAUAGUUGGGGGCAUUAGUAUUCAAUUGUCAGAGGUGAAAUUCUUGGAUUUAUUGAAGACUAACUACUGCGAAAGCAUUUGCCAAGGAUGUUUUCAUUAAUCAAGAACGAAAGUUAGGGGAUCGAAGACGAUCAGAUGCCGUCGUAGUCUUAACCAUAAACUAUGCCGACUAG